CCCCUAGAUGUUCUGGACCGCACGCGCGCUACACUGAACAGUUCAACAAGUCUUAACCUUGGCCGAUAGGUCUGGGUAAUCUUUGAACGCUGUUCGUGAUUGGGAUAGACCUUUGCAAUUAUGGGUCUUCAACGAGGAAUUCCUAGUAAACGCAAGUCAUCAGCUUGCAUUGAUUACGUCCCUGCCCUUUGUACACACCGCCCGUCGCACCUACCGAUUGAAUGGUCCGGUGAAAUCUCGGGACGGCGGCUUGGUCGCUUGCGUCCGACUGCUGAAACUUGAUUAAACCAUNUNAUUUAUNGGAAGGUGAANUCGUANCA
rnacentral:rRNA from 1 species